ACGAGUGGCGGACGGGUGAGUAAUGUCUGGGAAACUGCCUGAUGGAGGGGGAUAACUACUGGAAACGGUAGCUAAUACCGCAUAACGUCGCAAGACCAAAGAGGGGGACCUUCGGGCCUCUUGCCAUCGGAUGUGCCCAGAUGGGAUUAGCUAGUAGGUGGGGUAAAGGCUCACCUAGGCGACGAUCCCUAGCUGGUCUGAGAGGAUGACCAGCCACACUGGAACUGAGACACGGUCCAGACUCCUACGGGAGGCAGCAGUGGGGAAUAUUGCACAAUGGGCGCAAGCCUGAUGCAGCCAUGCCGCGUGUAUGAAGAAGGCCUUCGGGUUGUAAAGUACUUUCAGCGGGGAGGAAGGGAGUAAAGUUAAUACCUUUGCUCAUUGACGUUACCCGCAGAAGAAGCACCGGCUAACUCCGUGCCAGCAGCCGCGGUAAUACGGAGGGUGCAAGCGUUAAUCGGAAUUACUGGGCGUAAAGCGCACGCAGGCGGUUUGUUAAGUCAGAUGUGAAAUCCCCGGGCUCAACCUGGGAACUGCAUCUGAUACUGGCAAGCUUGAGUCUCGUAGAGGGGGGUAGAAUUCCAGGUGUAGCGGUGAAAUGCGUAGAGAUCUGGAGGAAUACCGGUGGCGAAGGCGGCCCCCUGGACGAAGACUGACGCUCAGGUGCGAAAGCGUGGGGAGCAAACAGG
rnacentral:rRNA from 1 species